rnacentral:tRNA from 1 species
GCGGUCGUGGCGGAAUUGGCAGACGCGCUGGCUUCAGGUGCCAGUAAUGGAAACAUUGUGGAGGUUCGAGUCCUCUCGACCGCACCA